GUAGGUGUGUCAUGAUGGAAAACAAGUCACAUAGAAUUUAUACAGAAACCUACUGGACACUUGCUUGGGGAAGUAUACAUUAUUUUUAUCUGAUUAGUUUUGCUCUAGUCUUCUGUGGUCAUCUGAAGUGUAUGAGUACUAUGUUACAAAGGAUUUCCAUCUUCAGUGGUAAGCUUAGAAGAUAUAUAUUGACAAGUUAAAUGGGGAUCAAAUGCUUCACAGAUUAUGGAAUCUUUUUUCCAUAUGGCACCCCUACACUACAGUUUUAUGGGUCUAGUACUCCAGCUGCAUCAGUUUAUAGGAGGUGUAUAUGACACCUCUUACUUGGUGCCAAACUUAUUUCAUAUUCUGUAUCCCACCACUGAGGCAAAGGUAAACGAAGCAGGAUAGAAGACAGAAGAGGAUGAAUGAACCUGACAGUCGUUGUGUCACCUCAACCCAGAAGACAGAAAGUGCUAUGUUGCAACAGGAACCUCAUGGAAAUUCAUGACAGUUUUACCAUUCUCCCACAGUAAAUACUGGCCAUUCAGCUGCUUCUGAAAAGAACUUACUCCUUUCAGAGUCAACAUCUAAGCUCUGUAAGUGCAAUGGAAAUGAGUGAAGAAAUGGGUGAAGAGCAAAAUUUGCACAAGAUUUUUGGAAGAAGUUUACAAAAUGAUUAACCAUUCACUAGGAACUUGCCAAUAAAGUAUGAGACCAAGACCAUAAAUACAAUUUUUAUGUUGAAUUAUUUGACUAGUUAGUUUCAAUAAAUCUUUAAAUCA